CGAACGGGUGAGUAACGCGUGAGGAACCUGCCUCAAAGAGGGGGACAACAGUUGGAAACGACUGCUAAUACCGCAUAAGCCCACGGCUCGGCAUCGAGCAGAGGGAAAAGGAGUGAUCCGCUUUGAGAUGGCCUCGCGUCCGAUUAGCUGGUUGGUGAGGUAACGGCCCACCAAGGCGACGAUGGAUAGGGGUUCUGAGAGGAAGGUCCCCCACAUUGGAACUGAGACACGGUCCAA
rnacentral:rRNA from 1 species